UCUCUCGUAGUUUAGUGGUUAGAACAUUUGUGCGUAAAGCCAAAGGUCCCGGGUUCGAUUCCCGACGGAGGUG
rnacentral:tRNA from 1 species